GACGAACGCUGGCGGCGUGCUUAACACAUGCAAGUCGAACGGUAAGGCCCUGCUUUUGUGGGGUGCUCGAGUGGCGAACGGGUGUGUAACACGUGAGUAACCUGCCCUUGACUUUGGGAUAACUUCAGGAAACUCGGGCUAAUACCGGAUAGGAGCUCCUGCUGCAUGGUGGGGGUUGGAAAGUUUCGGCGGUUGGGGAUGGACUCGCGGCUUAUCAGCUUGUUGGUGGGGUAGUGGCUUACCAAGGCGUUGACGGGUAGCCGGCCUGGGAGGGUGACCGGCCACAUUGGGACUGGGAUACGGCCCAGACUCCUACGGGAGGCAGCGGUGGGGAAUAUUGCGCAAUGGGCGGAAGCCUGAUGCAGCAACGCCGCGUGCGGGAUGACGGCCUUCGGGUUGUAAACCGCGUUCGCCUGUGACGAAGCGUGAGUGACGGUAAUGGGUAAAGAAGCACCGGCUAACUACGUG
rnacentral:rRNA from 1 species